GACGAACGCUGGCGGCGUGCUUAACACAUGCAAGUCGAACGGAAAGGCCCCUUUGGGGGUACUCGAGUGGCGAACGGGUGAGUAACACGUGCGUAACCUGCCCUUGACUUCGGGAUAACUUCAGGAAACUGGGGCUAAUACCGGCUAGGAAUCCUUGCUGCAUGGUGGGGGUUGGAAAGCUUCGGCGGUUUUGGAUGGACUCGCGGCUUAUCAGCUUGUUGGUGGGGUAGUGGCUUACCAAGGCUUUGACGGGUAGCCGGCCUGAGAGGGCGACCGGCCACAUUGGGACUGAGAUACGGCCCAGACUCCUACGGGAGGCAGCAGUGGGGAAUAUUGCACAAUGGGCGGAAGCCUGAUGCAGCAACGCCGCGUGCGGGAUGACGGCCUUCGGGUUGGAAACCGCUUUCAGCAGGGGCGAAGCUUGUGGUGACGGUACCUGCAGAAGAAGCACCGGCUAACUACGUG
rnacentral:rRNA from 1 species